rnacentral:rRNA from 1 species
UUACGGCCAUAUCAGGUUAAAACACUGGUACUCAUACAAUCACCAAAGUUAAGCAAUGUUGAAACUGGUUAGUACCUAGAUGGGUGACCACUUGGGAAUACCACAUGCUGUAA